ACGUCCUUCCAAACCGUUCCGC
rnacentral:siRNA from 1 species